rnacentral:rRNA from 1 species
UACCAGCACCCCCGAGUGGUCGGGACGUUUUAUUGGGCCUAAAGCAUCCGUAGCCGGUUCUACAAGUCUUCCGUUAAAUCCACCUGCUUAACAGAUGGGCUGCGGAAGAUACUAUGGAGCUAGGAGGCGGGAGAGGCAAGCGGUACUCGAUGGGUAGGGGUAAAAUCCGUUGAUCCAUUGAAGACCACCAGUGGCGAAGGCGGCUUGCCAGAACGCGCUC